UCACUGUGGAAGGAUGUGUUGGAGUGAUGUGUGAUUUCUUGUGCCCCGUACUUUGCUCGUUUAAGUUUUGUGCCGUGUUCCUUCUUCUUCAAUUAUGGAAUGAUUUAUCCUUGUAAAUUUCUGAGGUACAGGUGCACGCGCAUGUUAAUCGACGGUUACCUGUUGGCCUUGUCAACAUCCCGCAAAACGAUCGACGGAAGGAAAACGAUUUCAUCACAGCUCUUUCGUAGAAGAGCGCACUUCAAGGACGCCUAGGAUACGGCUAAACAUACGCAGCACCAGUCCGUGACGUCUUUUCCAGACAGGCGCCGGCUUAACACGCGCAGCACCAGUCGAGGAUAUCCUAGCGCAGAGGGUAGAAGGAAGAACGAGAGGAAGGGUAACUGAAAGCAACCGCAGCAUUUGGAAGGGGUGAAGCAUCCUGCCGUAUACAGAGUGUGAGUGUGCCAAAACGCAUGUGGAAAGAGUAACACCAAUAAAUAGCAUGCGAAAGUGUGCAUAAAGCAAAAAGAAAAAGCGUCACUACUACAACCAGCAAUCCGAAAAU